AUUAAAUGGUUCAAUGUAACAUGUCUGAUAAAGCUACUGUAGAAUGGGCAAGGCUCUUUAGAUUUGAUGUGUUUUGUUCUAUACACAGAGGGACAGAUGCAACAGUAGCUGAAGAACAUACACAGACAGAGAUCUUGAAUCAGCUGUGAUGAUAACCACACCGGAAAAGGUGAGGAUGAUGUAGCCCUCAGACCACCUGCAGCCUCCUGAGAUACACCUCACACAAUCUACCUGCAGUCUACCUGCCUUACACAGCAAGUGAAUCCAAGAUGGCAGCAUGGAAAAAAAUUGCAAAGACACCAGGUACUAGGAAGACAGCACUGGACUUCAUAGACUUAUAAAGCUAUGCAACAAUGAAACCUAUUAGUAAAAUCACUAUACCUUCCAGAAUGACGGACCCAUGGAACAGAAUACUGAACCAGCUAUUAAAUACAGUAAACUCAUUUUUCAAGCCCUUGCCACUAUAGUCAAAAACGAUAUAGCUAAAAGCUGGAAUAAAACCUCCGCCAUCAAUCGCUCAGGUUGAAAGCAGAUAUAGCAAACUAUUCAACUGCAUCUAUUAUCAGCU